rnacentral:rRNA from 1 species
AUCUGCCUACGGGACGCAGCAGUGGGGAAUAUUGCACAAUGGGGGAAACCCUGAUGCAGCGACGCCGCGUGAGUGAAGAAGUAUCUCGGUACGUAAAGCUCUAUCAGCAGGGAAGAAAAAAAGUCUUUGGCUUUGGACGGUACCUGACUAAGAAGCCCCGGCUAACUACGUGCCAGCAGCCGCGGUAAUACGUAGGAUGCGAGCGUUAUCCGGAUUUAUUGGGUUUAAAGGGUGCGCAGGCGGCGAGUUAAGUCAGCGGUAAAAUUUCGGGGCUCAACCCCGACGAGCCGUUGAAACUGGCUUGC